rnacentral:lncRNA from 1 species
AAAGAUGCUUACAUGCUGAAAUUCUUUGAAAAUAAUUCAUGCCGCCUGCCAAAGUGGUGCAAUGACGGGGACACCGUGAAGCUUCCUUUCUGUCAGAUUAAAGGGAAGUAUCGAAUGGAACUACCUGAAUACAACAGCAUGGAACCAUACUCCCAUAUGAAUGAAAGGUGCGAAUCACUGCCCCAAAAGUACUCCAGGUCACGGAAUUGCUAAGUCCUCAAUUCAUUGCUCUUACAAAUUUUUUAGGCCUAUGGUUGAUGUCAUACCAGUUUCUUCUGCUUUUAGUGUAGUUCUAUUGUUGGAUACAAAUGAAUGAAAGAUGGCGAAGCUGUAAAUAUUUUUGGUGGUCAGGUACGAAAGGAGGGCAGUGUUGGUGUUCCAAUUGUUGUACAAUGUGAAUAUGAAUUGUAAUGCAUGUCUUUCUUUUCCACAAUGUAUUUUUUUUCUUAUUCUUUUAUAAUGUCAUUCCAAAUUGAUUGAAGUGUUCCCUAGUCUCAGAAAGGAGUUGGGAACAACAUAUUAGUUUUUUUUAUGUUCACAUGAAUCUCUCAGUUUUAUCUCUCACUCUAGGUUAUCUCACAAAUUGCUGGUUCGUCCAUGCCACUCUAUUAAAGAUGCAAGUAUGACUUGUAAGUUGUGAUAUAAUGCAAACUGCAACCAUUUAUGUUAACAAGAUUUUUUUGUAUGCGUGUAUACAUUUGACAAAACAAAAGACAAGUGUCGAGUCGAGUAAGGUGGCCCAUGUUCAGGGGAAUUGUUCGAUCAUUGUUUCGUUUGUUUAAUCAGACUGCAAAUUUAGGUUUGUCAAGAGAGAUGUCAGGCAUCAUAACUGUCAAAUACACGAAGACGCAUGACCUUGUCGUCAUUUGAAUUUUGAGCUCGAUUGUAUGAAGAAAAUUUAGAUAGACGUUAAUGACAAAUGGGGUGUCCCCCCUGACUAUAGGCCAAUUUAUGAAUGAUAAGAAAAACAGAGAUGUAGAUGGGAUACAGUUGAAUUUUGGCCUAUAGUUAGGGGUGUUCAACAUCCAAUUCAAUUCGUCUACACCAACCGAUUCAAUUCAAUUUUGGUCAAUUUUUCGAUGGUAUGGUGGAUCGAACUAGAUUCUUAAAUUCUAAAACUGAAUCUUAUGCAAUUCAACAUAAUUGGUUUCGUACCUUUUCACAUUUGAAAUUGAAGAAAUUAUAAACAAUUUAAGGGCUCGUUUGGGAUUGUUUCUCUAGGAAGCACUUCUACUUAUAAGCGCUUUCUACCAAAAGUGCUUUUAUUAUAAAGACAUUGAAAUUUUCAUAAGAAACCGAAUUGCUUCUUGGAAAAGCAUUUUGGAGUGCUUCCUGAAGAAGCACAUGACAUGUGCUUCUUCAUAAAGCGCUUCUAUAGCCCAAAAACGUUUCUAAACUUUUCUACCAAACGCUGUCAGAAGCGCUUUUGGUUGUCAGAAAGCACUUUUAACUGUUUCAUAAGCACUCCCAAACGAGCCCUAAGUCGUUUGACGAAACUAAAACCGAUUUAGUCCAAUCAAUCAAAUACAAAAUGGAUCGGAUUGAAUCAGAUCCUAAGACCAUCUCCAAUGAGAGUGGGCUAAACUUAAAAUUUGACAUUUUAGACCAAAAUCAUUCUCCAACCAUGCAUACAAAAGGGCAAUAAAACCAAUUCAGGCAAAUGCUGAGUGGAAUAGUGCCCCUUUUAUUGCAUGGAUCCAAAUUUCGUGGAGCACACCUACAAAAAGCAGCAGCCUAAAAGAAAGUUGCAAAAUGCCCAUGUGAUGGUAGAACCCGCAGUCAGCUGGCGUCGAAUUUCAGCAUCUUCUUGCCUAGGACACGUGUCGCACUCUCGUCUUGUGACUGUUGCAAUCCACCGGUUCAUUUUGAACUGUUGGUUUUUUUUCUUUUUCUGAAUUCAACUCCAACAGUUAUUCGAUCAAAGGUUGGUAAUUUUUUUUUGGUGCAAAUCCAACGGUUGAAAAUAGGGUAAGAUACAAAGGGAUAAGGAGGAAGAGAGGAAAUAAUUGCAAAAUGAAAAAACAUAAUGGCCAACAUGUCUGAUCAUAAUUGAAUGAAGUUUGGAAAAGAUAGAGAAAGAUAAGGAAAUCCAAUAAAAUGAGAUGGCCAAAGAUGAACAAUGGUUUAGAACAUAAUUGAAACAAGACAAUAGGAGAUGGGAGAUGGUUCAGAAAAUAAUUGAAGAAGACAAAGGGAGCUGAGCAUGGGUUGAGAGCAUUAUUGAAGGAGGAUAAAUGAAUCCAAUGAAGUAAAGUAUAAGUAAAAAACCAAUAUACCAUCCACUUGCUCAUAAAUAUUUAUCUCCAUAUGCAACUUAAUCAACCACACUAAUGGAACCUAACAAUUGAAGGGAGCAUCAUACAUUUGAUUGAGGAUGCCCCCAUCCUAGGUGCAAUCCAUCUCUCUUUCAUGUAAUAGUCAAGAAAUGCAUUGAAUAAGUGUUCCUAGAGUCUGACUUCACUUAAAGUUUAGAAAUCAGAGCCUAGAAGCUAUAUCCAAAGUCCAAUACCAAGAUCAUCAAAUGGAAAUCUAUAGUUCGUAAGCGUGACAAUGAGACAAUUCAUUUAAAGCCAAAAAAAUAUAAAGAAAAAAUGGAAGACAGUGUAAGGGUCUUUUUAUUCCAGCAGCCUGACGAAUGGGCUUGGGCUGCCGAAAAAGAGAAAUAGGUAAAGCUGCCCCUUUGUCUGAGUUCAAGGAUCAGACCCAAGAGUGUCUCAAAAAGAUAGCUAAGCCUUAGGAAACACCCUGGUCUUCUUCACCAAUGAAACCAACAGUCGCUUAUAGAUAAAUUCUUGGGCUUGGCAUGAGAAGCUUGUGGCAUGGGAGCUGAGCAUUCACGAGGUUAGCAUGAGAGAGAGAGAAGGCUUGGGUUUCUUAUUAGAAACAGAGGCUUGAAGUAAUAAUUUCGUGAGGAUUUGCUGAAAAGAGAGAGAGAGAGAGAAAGAGAGAGAGAGAGAGAGAGAGAGAGAGAGAGAGAAAGAGAGAGAGACAUAGAUUAUGGUGGAUGAACAGGUGCUUUGGGUAAUUUUUCAGCAGCUUGACGAAAGUUUCGUCAAGCUCUAGAAUGGCUUAUCAGAUGAGAAAAUGGGAAGCAAUGGAAGAACAAGGCUUGAAAUCGAAGGGUUCCAGAGAUGAGAGAUGAUGCUUGCUCUCUCUUGACAUGGUUGCUUGCCUUCGAUCAGAAAGAGAGGAAGAAGAUAGAAGCAUGGGUGGCUUUAGCAGAUUUUCAGCAACUUGGCGAAAGCUUCGUCAGGCUCCUGGGUUGCACGACAGAAGGGAAAAUAGGAAGAGAUGGAGGAGUAAGGCUCUAAAUUGCAGGGGUUUUAGGGAUGAGAGAUGAUGCUUGCUCUCUGGAUGUGUGUUUUGGGAGAGAGAGGAAGAAGAUGGAAGAAUAGAGCAUGAAAUUGAAGGGUUCUAGAUAUGAGAGAUGAUACUUGUUCUCUGGAUGCGUGUUUUGGGAUAGAGAGGAAGAAGAUGAAAUAACAGAGCAUGAAAUUGAAGGGUUACAGAGAUGAAAGAUGAUGCUUGCUCUCUCUGGAUGUGGGUUUUUGGGAGAGAUAGAGGAAAAAGAUGGAAGAACAAAGCAUGAAAUUGAAGGAUUCUAGAGGGGGUGCUUGCCUUCGAUCGGUUUGUUGUGUGUUUGCUGGGUAGAAAGUGGCUCCUUUUAUAGGAGCUUGGAAGACUCAAUUUUAUCAAGCCACCCUCUCCCAUUUUCCUUCACUUUCUUCCAUUCCAUCUCAUUUGUUGAAACUUCCUUAGCAUGAGCAUGUGGGCAUGAAGCUUUUUGGAGUUCCAAAACCUUCACAUACAGCUGGACUUCUCCAUGUGGGUGAGGAGCCACCCACUUUUGUUUCUUGUUUUCUCACCAAAGCUUGAAGAGGAAAGAAUGGGUAAUGGUGCUUGGUCAAAAAGGUGAUCAGCACAUGGGUUUGCUUGGUUUUGGUAGUUUGGCUGUGAUUUGGUUUUAAUAUAGAUGUACAACAUUGGAUAUUUUAUAAGGUGCUGGGUUGGGCUGUUUUGUUUCUAGUGCUUGUGAGUUCCCUUUGAUUUCGUCAGGCUGCUGGAAGCUUUGGCUGAUGUGGGAUUUUAUGGGCUAUUAGGUUUUCUUAAGGUGAUGGGCUACUAGGUUUUCUCUCAUGCUUACCCAUAUGUUUGGGCUCAAGGAAUGGGCUUGAGUUUUGGUGCUCCCAAGUAGCCCAAAGCUUCCACUCAUUGGACCAUCAAUGGGCCUCGUGAAUGCUCGUAACCAUCCAUACCACAAUCAGCUCAGCAAGCCCCAGGCAUUCGCGUGGCUUGGGCCCACUUAAGCUUGUAGCGUGGCAUGUUGCUUAAAUAAGAAUUUUUCGCUUGGUGUUGUACUGGGCCGAAAAUAUAUUUGGGCCCAGCAUUGGAUUUUUUGGGCCUCAACAGACAGCCAUGGUGACGGCUUCAAUGAAGGGUUCGAAUUAUUUCGGGCAUGCGCAAAAGUAGUAGCUUCUAGGGCUAUAGAUUGGGAAGAUGUAGAUGUUGUGACCACAUUGCAACUAACCAAAUAAGUCAUAUUGUUCCAUUUGUUUUUAUAUAAGUCGUGUGGUACUUGUUUUUUAUUUUCAGAGUUUAUGAAAUAAAAUGUUGUUGUCCUUAUUUUUAUUUUUAAGUGAAAUUAUAAAAUGUUUUGGAUUUUGGAAUUUUUAAGUUAAAAUGUUCAGAAAAUUAAAUCACGAAUGUUGAAACAAAAAUAAUGUCAAGAAAAAUUAACGACAAAAAAAGGGGUUAACCAUUCUUAAAUCGGAGGUCGUGGGCCCUCUGGGCCCGGUUGACAAAUAUGAAAAGUUUGACUGCUCGGUUGACCAUGAGUCUUCCGAGACCGUCUCAUCCUUCGAAAAGUAUUAGAAUGACCCAAUAAACCUUCUUAAAAGUCGUGCACACAAUUUGAGUCCUGUGAAUUAGCAUUUUGAGUUAAAGAUCAUGGUUGGACACUUUUAUUGAUUAAAUCCGUCUAUUAUCUCAAAUAGGUAUCCAGACUCCGCGUACUCCUCAGAAGGGACCCUCUCAGGAUUGAGCAGUGUUGGACUUGUUGUGAGUGGAGAUUUUAUUUUGGGUUAAUGAGGUUAUGAGAUUUUGGUUUAUAUGGUUUUGGAAUUUUAAAUAUGUUGUAUUGGAUUUUAUCAUUGUUGUUAGGCUUGAAAGUUGGUUUGGUUUUGCAGUCAUUUUUAUGAGGAGGGAUUAAAUGAUUUAAUUUUGUAUCAGGAAAGGGAGGAGUUACUCAUAACAUGUUAGAUGAUAUCCACGACCAUUGGAAGCGGGCGGAAGCUGUGAAGAUCAAGUGUUUGGGAGUGCCAACUCUUGACGUGGAGUUUGCUUCCACCUUGAGGUUUGAACUUAACUCAGCCAGCUCCUUCUAUCUGGAUUUGGUUUUGAUUUUUUGGUGUUCGGAAAUUAUUAGCUCAUGGAGAUACUAGUGUCUGUGCAGUGCAGGACAAGUCUGGUGGGAAGAUUGUCUACACAGCACAUUAAUGUCCUUAUUUUAUACCUGGGGGAAAAGAGAGAUCAAGAACAAGACUCCCAAGUGCAGGGACAGAAGUGAAAAGUUUGCAGAUGCUUAAGUGCGGUCAGGUUUGGUACUUAAUUCUAAAAGAAAAAUUCUCAAAUACAAAUGCCAAUGCUAUAUCUUGAAAAGUUUUUAUGUCAAAAUUUUGUUUGUGAACUUUAGAGCUUUCAUCCAUUGUUUGUUAUCAAUUUUUCAUUUUUAUCUUCUCUCAUCUCUCUCGGAGAGUAUUCUCAUCACAGAUUAGGAAAGGAGAAGACAACAAUAGGCAUUCAGAACUAAUUAAGAUAUAUAGCAAUCUGCAACAAUAGGCAUUCAAGAGUACAUACAAGACAACGAGAGAUCAAGAAUUUAAAUCUUGUUAAGGUACAACUAUAAGGAGUUGCAAUGAAUUUCGGAUGGCCCCAAAAAAUAGUAUUUUGGUAGGUAAGGUUCCAAAUGUAGUAUUUUGGUAGUGUAGCUUGUCAAAUAUAGCGUUGGCAUGUCAGUUAGCUCUUGCAGACCGCUAGUCACUCAUCUCAUCCAAGUCACACAGGUCUGGUACUCACCAAUUCAGGUCAUAGUUCUGAAUGCCAAUGGUUUAAUUAGUCUUCUCCAACUCCCAGCAGGCUACAAAAGAGGAACCCUAUCGAAGAUGAUCGGGUGCGCUUAGAUAUGUGGUGAUGGGUUUCCCUCGUUAGUGGAGGAGAGAAAAAGAAGGAAAAUAAAUAUUAAAAUAAAAUAAAGGAAAGGACAGGAAAAUUUGAAGAAAACGAACGGAAGAGAAAAUGAGAAAAACUCUCUCGCAUGCAAGGCCACCAAUUUGUCAGGAACGUUGACUAUAAAAGCAGCUGGCUUCCUUCAGUUUAAAUCAUCCUUCAGAAUACCAAAACAUAGAGAGUUUUGAGAGAUAAGAAAACCUCACUUGUGUGAGAGAGAAAAUCCUCUUGAGAAAAAAACCAAGAGAGAGUUUAGCCACCGGUGUUUGGUGAGAUUAUUUUUGUAUUCCCAUUAUUUUUCUUAGUGGAAGAUAGAGUGUUAAUUUUGUCCAUUUUAUUUACACAAGGCUGGGAGAAGUCAGAUCCUGAGAGAGCCUUUGAUUUUUCGCAAUCUUUCCCAACAAGUGGUAUCAGAGCUUUGGCUCAAAAAUUAUAUUCUUGUGUAAUUUAAGAUGGAGGAGUCAUCGUCAUCAUCAUCAGCAACAAUGUUAAAAUUGACUGCAUCCAAUUACUCCAUUUGGAAUCCAAGAAUGGAGGACAUCCUUUACUGCAAGGAUUUGUAUGAGCCCCUUCAAUUGCUGGGACAAAAACCAGCAGGGAAGUCAGACGAUGCAUGGAGCAUUCUGAAUAGAAAAGUUGUCGGACAAAUCCGACAAUGGGUGGAUCAAAGUGUGUUCCACCAUGUGGCACAAGAGACGGAUGCAUACAAAUUAUGGACAAAAUUGUCGUCCAUGUACGAGCGGAAGACCGCUCAAAAUAAAGCAUCGGUUAUCCGACGGUUGGUAAACCUUAAGUACAGAGAUGGUCGAAGUGUUACCGAGCAUCUCAGUGACUUCCAAGGUUUGAUCAACCUGUUGACGAAUAUGAAGAUGGUGAUUGAUGAUGAGUUACAAGCAUUAAUGUUACUCAGCUCUUUGCCUGAUAGCUGGGAUACACUAGUAGUAUCCUUAAGCAAUUCAGCUCCUCAAGGCGUUCUUACAUUGGACAUAGUUAAAGAUAGCAUGUUCAAUGAAGAAGCAAGGAGGAAAGAACAAGGUGUAGUAGCCGAGUCAGAAGCCCUCGUCUCAGAGUAUCGUGGAAGAACUAACAAUAGAAAAUUCCACAGACGAGACAAGUCAAAGGGCAAGUCAAGAGAUGGCUCGAGAGGAAGGUCCAAGACAAGAAAGGACCUAGAAUGUUACCAUUGUGGCGGGAUAGGCCACAUGAAGAGAGAGUGCAGGUUGUUUAAACGAGAGCAAGAUAGAGGUAACGAAAAGAAUAAUGCCAGGCACACGACUGCAACUACCUCUAGUGGAAAUGAGGUAAUUAUUCUAUGUGGUGAUGGCUUCGUUAAUUUGUCCUCUCAAGAUACAUGUUGGAUAGUGGACUCUGGUGCAUCAUUUCAUGUCACCUCACGGAGAGACUUUUUUACAUCUUACACCAAUGGAGAUUUUGGUAAUGUGAGGAUGGGAAAUGACAAAUUGUCCAAGAUCGUGGGAAGAGGAGAUAUUUCCCUUGAAACCAACACAAGUUGUCACUUGGUCCUCAAGGAUGUGAGACAUGUUCCAGACAUGCGUCUCAAUCUAAUCUCCACUGGAUUACUUGACGAUGAAGGAUACACCAAUGUCUUUGCUGAAGGGAAAUGGAAACUCAGCAAGAACUCUCUUGUCCUAGCACGAGGGAAGAAGGAGAACACCCUAUACAUGACACAUGCAAAAGUCAGUAAUGGGUACGUAAAUGCUCUCGCAGAAGACUCAAUCGAGCUAUGGCAUAAACGGCUCGGUCACAUGAGCGAGAAAGGGCUGCAAAUUCUAGCCAAAAGAGAGGCACUGAUUGGGAUGAAGAAAGGCAUGCCUCUAAAAUCAUGCACGCAUUGCUUGGCUGGAAAGCAGCAUAGAGCUUCGUUUCAACAUGGUCAUGCACAAAGAAAACCCAAUGUAUUGGAUGUUGUGUACUCUGAUGUUUGUGGUCCUAUGACCACUAGUACUCUUGGUGGUGCAAGAUACUUUGUUACCUUCAUUGACGAUCAUUCCAGGAAGGUAUGGGCUUACGCACUUAGAACAAAAGAUCAAGUGUAUGAAGUUUUCAAGCAGUUUCAUGCUAGCGUUGAACGAGAGACUGGUAGAAGCUUCAAAUGUAUUCGCACCGAUAACGGAGGAGAAUAUAUGGGGGCAUUUAGAAACUACUGUAGAAGUAACGGAAUCAGGCAUGAAAGAUCUGUUCCGAAGACUCCUCAGCAUAAUGGCAUAGCUGAGAGAAUGAACAGAACAAUUGUUGAAAGAAUAAGAACAAUGUUAUCUCAUGCCAAGCUGCCCAAAAGUUUUUGGGGUGAAGCCCUGAUGACUGCAGUUGAUCUAAUCAACCUUUCUCCUUCAGCGCCUUUGAAUGGUGAUGUCCCGAACAAGUUCUGGUCGGGAAAAGACGUUUCCUACAAUCAUCUGAAAGUUUUUGGUUGUAGAGCUUUUGUUCAUAUUCCUAAAGACGAGAGAUUCAAGCUCGACGCAAAGUCGAAAGAAUGUAUCUUCGUGGGAUAUGGGAAUGAAGAAUUCGGUUACAGGUUAUGGGAUCCUGUAGCUAGAAAAAUUAUUAGAAGUAGAGAUGUUGUCUUCUUUGAAGAUCAGAACAUUGAAGACAUUCGAAGAGGUGAUAAACCUAAUAAUCCUAGAGAAUAUCCAGCUAACUUAGAUCCAGUUCCUUCCCCAUUGGAGCACAAUGACGAGCGAGAUGAAUCCAAUGAUACUGAUGAUCUAGCUAGUGAUCCUAUUAUAAAUGAACCAGUUGAUAGUGACAUGAGUGAUGGUCAUACAACUGAUGGUAUAAUAGAUGAUGCAGCGGAUGAAGAGCUAGAAGCACAAGCCGAUGAAGAGCCAGAGGCCGAAUUCCAACCAAGAAGAUCGACCAGGGUACGGAGACCUCCGAGUAGGUACUCUCCAGAUGAUUACGUUCUCCUAACAGACGGGGGAGAACCAGAAUGCUAUAAAGAAGCAUUGACUCAUGAUCAACAAGAUGAGUGGUUGAAAGCCAUGCAUGAAGAGAUGCAAUCUCUGCAUGAGAACCACACAUAUGAUCUAGUGAACCUACCAAAAGGUAGAAGAGCACUCAAGAACAAAUGGGUGUAUCGACUGAAGACGGAAGAAAACAACUCUAAGCCCAGGUUUAAGGCAAGGCUAGUUGUGAAAGGUUUCAGUCAGAAGAAAGGAAUUGACUUUGAAGAGAUUUUCUCACCCGUAGUGAAGAUGUCAUCCAUACGGGUUGUACUCGGUUUGGCUGCAAGCCUAAAUCUCGAGAUCGAACAGCUAGAUGUGAAGACAGCUUUUCUUCACGGAGAUCUUGAAGAAGAAAUCUACAUGGAGCAACCAGAAGGAUUCAAAGUCAAAGGAAAAGAAGAUUUGGUAUGUCGGCUGAAGAAGAGCUUAUAUGGACUCAAGCAGGCGCCUCGACAAUGGUACAAGAAGUUUGAUUCCUUCAUGAUUGAACAUAGAUAUCGAAGGACUACUUCAGACCAUUGUGUAUUUAUGAAAAGAUUUGAUGAUGGUAAAUUCAUCAUACUUCUUCUCUAUGUCGAUGACAUGUUGAUCAUAGGACAAAACAGUGACAAGAUUAGCAAGCUGAAGAAAGAGUUGAGCAAGUCUUUUGCUAUGAAAGACUUAGGACCCGCAAAACGAAUCCUUGGUAUGAGUAUAUCCCGUGAUAGAAAAAAUCGGAAGUUGAGGUUAUCACAAGAAAGUUAUAUCGAGAAGGUACUAAAGCGGUUUAACAUGGAUAAAGCAAAACCAGUUUCUACUCCAUUUCCUAGUCACUUCAAGCUUAGUUCAAAGCAGAGUCCUACAUGUGAGAAAGAAAAAGAAAACAUGGCUAUGGUGCCAUAUUCCUCAGCUGUUGGUAGUCUGAUGUAUGCAAUGAUUUGCACGAGGCCAGACAUAACGCACGCAGUUGGCGUUGUAAGCAGAUUCCUGUCUAAACCAGGCAGAGAGCAUUGGAAUGCUGUGAAGUGGAUUCUCAGAUAUCUCAGGGGUACUUCCAAAAUGAGUUUGUGUUUUGGAGGUGGAAAAUAUGAAUUGAUUGGCUACACAGAUGCAGACAUGGCAGGAGAUCUUGAUUCCAGAAAAUCUACUUCAGGAUACCUGAUUACAUUUUCAGGGGGAGCAGUUUCGUGGCAAUCAAAGUUACAGAAAUGUGUUGCUCUAUCAACUACAGAGGCAGAGUUUAUUGCAGCUACUGAAGCAUGCAAAGAAAUGCUUUGGAUGAAGCGAUUCCUACAAGAAUUAGGGCAAGAGCAGCACAAAUACAUUUUGCAUUGCGAUAGUCAGAGUGCGAUCCACUUGAGCAAGAAUCCGAGUUUUCACUCGAGGUCGAAGCACAUUGAUGUGCGAUAUCACUGGAUACGUGAUGUGUUGGAGUCAAAGCAAUUACAGCUUGAGAAAAUCCAUACUGAUGACAAUAGUUCAGAUAUGAUGACCAAGUCCUUACCUAAGGACAAGUACGAAUUUUGCAAAAGAGCAGCUGGACUGCUGGAGCCCUCCACCUAAGUCGGGAGGGGGAGAUUGAUGGGUUUCCCUCGUUAGUGGAGGAGAGAAAAAGAAGGAAAAUAAAUAUUAAAAUAAAAUAAAGGAAAGGACAGGAAAAUUUGAAGAAAACGAACGGAAGAGAAAAUGAGAAAAACUCUCUCGCAUGCAAGGCCACCAAUUUGUCAGGAACGUUGACUAUAAAAGCAGCUGGCUUCCUUCAGUUUAAAUCAUCCUUCAGAAUACCAAAACAUAGAGAGUUUUGAGAGAUAAGAAAACCUCACUUGUGUGAGAGAGAAAAUCCUCUUGAGAAAAAAACCAAGAGAGAGUUUAGCCACCGGUGUUUGGUGAGAUUAUUUUUGUAUUCCCAUUAUUUUUCUUAGUGGAAGAUAGAGUGUUAAUUUUGUCCAUUUUAUUUACACAAGGCUGGGAGAAGUCAGAUCCUGAGAGAGCCUUUGAUUUUUCGCAAUCUUUCCCAACAUGUGGUAGGAAUGAUACCAUAUUACGUUCUCUGCAAGUGUUGCCAGUAGACCGAAGAAGUUGGUAAAAUCAAAUGAGGCAGUGCCAUUUCAUAUCUAACUGAUCUCAUGAGGAGGACGUUCAUAUUGCACCAUGGAAUUGUUUUAGAACCAAAAGAAAGAGAAUUGUUCUUAAGCUAUUUGGGAAACUUCCAGAAAUAAAACUGGGGCUGACCCUGCCACACCCACAGAUGUGCCAAUAUGUUUAAAAGAAACAUUCAGUAGCCAUUGGGGCCAGGAACUUUUAACCAGAGUUCUGUAUGAUCUAAUCCUUCGAUUCUGAAUGCAUAGCCAGAAAGACAUACUGCCAAGAACAAUAUGCUGAAGUUCUUGCACAUUCAAACUGCCAAAAAAACCAGUUUUCCAGACACAUCAACCAGUUGAGAGAACUCAAUUAGCACAUCGUGGACCCACCGUCUUCUACUGAUUCAAGCACUAUAUCCACACUCGCAGCAUGCAGUAAUGGCUCUAUUGCUGCCAUCAUGCUGUCCCCUUCACCUUGAUGAGCCUUGUUACUAUUGUAAAUGGUCAUGAUGUUAUUUUUUAAAAACAUUCAUAACAACUCAAGGCAAAAGGCUCAGAGGGGGCCCAUAAGAUAAAACACGUACAAACAGGAAGGCAAAAAAAUAUGUUAAAUUUCAUAUACUUACAAGGGCAAAUGUGAAAAUAUAAUUAAUGUUUUUUUUUAAUGAAAAACAUUGUUUUAAGUGAGAGAGAGAAGAGAAGAGAAAAUGACUAAAAAGAGAAGGCGAGAGAGAAGAUUAGUAGCAUUCUUCAGGACAUUGCUUCCCUCAUUCCUUGGAAGGAGACAUUUUUACUUCUAGCAAAUUACAGAUUGACUCAUAGGCAAAAGUAAUUCAUCAAAAACAUGAAAAGAAAAAUAUAUAUACACAUGUCAAUAUGAUGCAUUUGUUACAUGACUAAUUAAAAAUCUCAACUUAUAGUUAAUUAAUAUAAUUAAUAUUCAGAAGGAGUCUUAUUUUCCAACUGAAUAUAUCGAAUAAGAUAAGAGCCUGAUAGAUAUAUUUUGUUUUUCUUGUCGAAUCGUGAUAGAUAGAUAUAUACAUGUAUGUCGUACACAUUUCCACGUUCCAAAAGAGAGGGAAAGAGAAAAAUGAAACAGGAAAAAGAAAAAGUUUCCUUUCCUCGUUGGAAUUGCGAGAAAGAGGCAAUAAUAAGUUAAAGAAAGAGCGUUUUUUUAUCUGUCUAACAAGACGAGUUCAACUACCCGAGGGGUCUCUCCCUCUCUCUUACCUACGCAUAGAGAGAGCCAUGGCUUCCUCUCCCUCUUUACUCUUUGCGGCCGCCGUAAUCACCCUCACUUUGCUCUUCGCAUAUUCCGCCAAAUUACCAUUUCACCCCCGAGACGUCCUCCCUCUCUUGCCCAGACAGGUUUCAUGGCCAAUCCUCAACUCUCUGCACGGUGCGGUCGAUCUCUUGCCCACUUUCGUGGGCUCAGCUUCGUCUCCAAACGACAGUUUGGAGUGGAAAGGUGCGUGCUUUUACCAGAACACAGCUUGGAUGGAGUUCCACAACAAGAGUGGCAGCGAAUUUGGUGGCGGAACUCUUCAUAUCAAGGUCUAGACGAACUGAAAUUUCUUGUUCUGUUGGCUUGUUUUCUUUCAUUUUCGAACUGGGUUUGUGCAAAUUUUGAGUUUUGAGUAUGUGGGUUAAUGGGUAUUAAAUUAUGUUAAACUUGUUUCAGUGACCUCAUAUUUCUUCUGCUCGUUUUUUAGCUGGGUUUGUGUAACUUUUUUAAGUUUUGGUCGUCAGGAUACUCAGAUUAAUUUUCUGUUCAAAAGUUGUCGAUAAAUAUGAAGAUUUUAUUGGCUAGUUUGAUUAUGGGCUAUACGAGGGUUGGUUUUCAGUUUAUUUCUAGGUGAUUUAGCAGAAAUUGGAGGUUUGUGGUAUUGGAGUUGUGGAAUUUACUUGCUGUUUGUUUCUUCUUAGAAUAUCAGAGGACUGCUGGAUAUUAAGGUGUUAAUUACAUUUCCAGUUAGAGCCUCUCUGGGGUUUCUUUUGAUUGUUCUGUGGAUUUUAUGAUCCAAAACAUAUCAUUUUGGCUUCAUUUUCUAGAAUAUAGGUUUCAUUAAUGUUGUACUUAUGAAUUUGAACCUCUUGCGGUUGGUUGAUCCCUGUAGGAAAGAAAAUACCUAAUUAAGGCUAUUUGUGACCUUACAUUUUCAUUAGAUACCGAGUUCUUAUGCUUAGAAAAUCUGGGGCAUUCAUCAGAGUUUUCAUACUUUUAUUACAUUAGUUUAAAAUUGAAUCCAUGUUUGUAUCCAGGUUGAUAAGGCUCAUAGUUGGACAUGUAUGGAUAUUUAUGUCUUUGCAACUCCAUACACUGUCACAUGGGAUUACUAUUUCCUGUCUCGGGAGCAUACACUUGAGUUUAAAGAGUGGCAAGGAAAAGCUGAGUUUGAAUAUGUAAGUUGCCACUUUCUAGUAUUCAUAUAUUACUUGAUAUUCCAAUUUCCUUUUAAAAGAGUUUAAUUUUGUCUUUAAUGUUACCCAAUCAGGUGAAAAACAGGGGAGUUUCUAUUUUCCUCAUGCAAGCAGGGAUGCUAGGCACCCUUCAAGCAUUGUGGGAUGUCUUUCCCUUGUUUACAAAUACUGGAUGGGGUGAGAACUCCAAUAUUGGGUUUCUCGAGAAGCACAUGGGUGCUUCCUUUCAUCAACGUCCUCAACCUUGGGUCACAAAUAUUAGCGUUGAUGAUAUUCACUCUGGAGAUUUCCUAGCAUUAUCUAAAAUUCGUGGGCGGUGGGGUGGAUUUGAGACACUAGAGAAGUGGGUCAGUGGAGCUUACGCUGGUCAUUCUGCCGUUUGUUUAAAGGAUUCUGAAGGAAAUCUUUGGGUUGGUGAAUCAGGACAUGAAAACGAGAAGGUGAGUUGCAAAGUUAAAAUACUAUGGUAUUGUACAUUUGGUUUGAGGUUCUGUUUUGCUUGUGUGUGAUUUGCAUGUAAACUUUUUUUUGUUUUUGUUUUACAUUUUUCUUCCAGUUUUCUGUAUAGUCAGGCACCAUUUCCAGGUCAAAGAGUGCUAAUUUUAAUAAUUAUUAUAUAAGGAUAAGUAAUGCUAUAACUAUAUCCUUUGCCUUUGGGCUUUGGUUUGAUUGGCAAUGCUGGGACGAGAUGGGUUCUAAGCACCAACAAAUAUGAAAAAACAUUAAAUUAUCUCUCUCUCUCUCUCUGUCUCUCUGUCUCUCUCUCUCUAUAUAUAUAUAUACGUGUGUGUGUGUGUGUGUCUUUAUUUGUAUAUGACUAUGUAUAUAAAUCUGUUGUCCUUUUUUCCUUUCAUCUUCUAGGGAGAAGAUGUCAUUGCUGUGCUGCCAUGGGAUGAGUGGUGGGAGUUUGAGCUGAAUAAAGAUGAUUCCAAUCCCCAUAUUGCGUUGCUUCCCUUGCAUCCUGAUAUACGAGCAAAGUUUAAUGAGACUGCUGCCUGGGAGUACGCAAGGAGCAUGGAAGGCCAACCAUAUGGUUAUCAUAACUUGAUAUUCAGCUGGAUAGAUACUAUACAAGACAACUAUCCACCCCCUUUGGAUGCUCACGUGGUAUCAUGUUAUAAGUACAUUUAAGAUUUCAUUAUCAGACUGUUACAGUAUUAGUAAAUCAAAAUUAAUAUUAAUUUCUUUUUUUUUUCUUUUGGUAUGAUGAUUUAGUGUCUGAUUUAGUUAGGAUUGAACUUGGUGGUUGGGGCCUGGGAUUCUAUAGAGGACUUAAAAAGCUUCCUGUUAGGUGCUUUACCCCAAUUAUUCUCUUUAUGGUUUAUAAUUUCUGGCUUUCAAACAACCACUUUAUAAACUUGUGGGUACAGAUUAAUCUGUAUCAAGGUGCUCAUGCAGCUAUUAUACAUGCUUCCUAGUGGCCUAAAAGGGGUUCAUGAUGGGGAUGAGGGUAGACAUUCCUUCUAAGUAAAACCUUUUUAAUAGGAUGAUGAUCAGUGGAUGUUUACGGGUGGAAAAGAAGAUAAAAAGAAAUGCUCUCGUUAGGUUCAUAGUUAAAUUGGUGAGCCAACUAAGAGAAUAUAGUUAAGUCCUGCUAUCUCCCUCUCUCUCAGACAUGUCUUGCUUGUGGAUGCUUCUACGAGCUUGAAGAGGCUUUCUUAUUCAUUGGUCCUUAUUCUUAGCUCUAUGGUUAUGCAGGUUGCUUCUGUUAUGACUGUUUGGAAUCAUAUACAGCCUACAUAUGCUGCGAACAUGUGGAAUGAAGCCUUGAACAAGAGACUUGGAACACAGGUGUUGUGAAAUUUUUCCUUGCAUUGCAAUCCUGUGGUUAUCUUGGAACUCUCUCUUUAAAAACUAUGUUUUAUUGCCACAAGGGCAUCAUAUUUUUGGAGUAAAUGAUAAAUCAGCAUUCCUUAAGUUAGAAAUAUCAACUGAUCAAGAUUUUUACUUUUGGUUAGAAGUUAAGCAAUUAGUCAAUAUCAUCUUUGAAAUUCAUUGUGUCAUUAUUAUCGUUCUGAGUUUCUGAUGUACCCUUUGUAUUUCAUGCAGAACCUUAGUUUUCCGGAUAUUCUAGUUGAAGUUGAAAAGAGAGGAUCAUCUUUUGACGAACUACUGACAGUUCCCGAACAGGAUGAUUGGCUAUACAGUGAUGGGAAGUCAACAUCGUGUGUGGCCUUCAUUCUUGAAAUGUAUAAGGAGGCAGGACUGUUUGAUCCAAUUGCUAGCUCUAUCCAAGUCACUGAAUUUACGGUGAGUUUAUUCAGAACAAAAUUCGAAUCUGUUUGCUUUAGAAUAAACAGGUCAUUUGCAUUGUCUCCAAAAUUUAAUCCACUGUCUAAAAAGGAGCUGAGUUGAUGCUAGUUCUAGGGAUAGUAUAGUGACAUUUGAAAAAAUAAAGGAAUUAGAUUGUUGAGGUUCAUGUAGCUUUCCAUUCAAAACGUCAUCCAUUGGGUGCUUUGCUAAUUAGUUGUUUCAUGAGGAGUUUAUAUGUUCGUUCUCGUGGAUUUAACUUUAUUUGCCAUAAAUGCAGAUAAAAGAUGCUUAUAUGCUGAAAUUCUUUGAAAAUAAUUCAAGCCGCCUGCCAAAGUGGUGCAAUGACGGGGACAGUGUGAAGCUUCCUUUCUGUCAGAUUAAAGGGAAGUAUCGAAUGGAACUACCUGAAUACAACAGCAUGGAACCAUACUCCCAUAUGAAUGAAAGGUGCGAAUCACUGCCCCCAAAGUACUCCAGGUCACGGAAUUGCUAAGUCCUCAAUUCGUUGCUCUUACAAAUUUGUUUGGCCUACGGUUGAUGUCAUUCCA